UACGAAGGGUGCAAACGUUGCUCGGAAUCAUUGGGCGUAAAGCGCGUGUAGGCGGUCCGGUAAGUCCGCUGUGAAAGUCGGGGGCUCAACCCUCGGAUGCCGGUGGAUACUGUCGGGCUUGAGUACGGAAGAGGCGAGUGGAAUUCCUGGUGUAGCGGUGAAAUGCGCAGAUAUCAGGAGGAACACCAAUUGCGAAGGCAGCUCGCUGGGACGUUACUGACGCUGAGACGCGAAAGCGUGGGGAGCAAACAGG
rnacentral:rRNA from 1 species